rnacentral:rRNA from 1 species
UGGGGAAUCUUCCGCAAUGGACGAAAGUCUGACGGAGCAACGCCGCGUGAGUGAAGACGGCCUUCGGGUUGUAAAGCUCUGUGAUCCGGGACGAAAGAGCCUGAGGUGAAUAGCCUAAGGAAGUGACGGUACCGGAAAAGCAAGCCACGGCUAACUACGUGCCAGCAGCCGCGGUAAUACGUAGGUGGCAAGCGUUGUCCGGAAUUAUUGGGCGUAAAGCGCGCGCAGGCGGCUUCCUAAGUCCAUCUUAAAAGUGCGGGGCUUAACCCCGUGAUGGGAUGGAAACUGGGAAGCUGGAGUAUCGGAGAGGAAAGUGGAAUUCCUAGUGUAGCGGUGAAAUGCGUAGAGAUUAGGAAGAACACCGGUGGAGAAGGCGACUUUCUGGACGAAAACUGACGCUGAGGCGCGAAAGCGUGGGGAGCAAACAGG